rnacentral:rRNA from 1 species
AAAAAAGGUAAGCUACUAAGAGCGAAUGGUGGAUGCCUUGACUGGUAAAGGCGAUGAAGGACGUACUAGACUGCGAUAAGCUACGGGGAGCUGUCAAGAAGCUUUGAUCCGUAGAUUUCCGAAUGGGGCAACCCAAUGUAUAGAGAUAUACAUUACCUAUAUAGGAGCGAACGAGGGGAAUUGAAACAUCUUAGUACCCUCAGGAAAAGAAAUCAAUAGAGAUUGCGUCAGUAGCGGCGAGCGAAAGCGCAAGAGGGCAAACCCAGUGCUUGCACUGGGGGUUGUAGGACUGCAAUGUGCAAGAGGUAAGUUUAGCAGAACAUUCUGGAAAGUAUAACCAUAGAGGGUGAUAGUCCCGUAUGCGAAAAACAAACCUUAGCUAGCAGUAUCCUGAGUAGGGCGGGACACGAGGAAUCCUGUCUGAAUCUGGGUCGACCACGAUCCAACCCUAAAUACUAAUACCAGAUCGAUAGUGCACAAGUACCGUGAGGGAAAGGUGAAAAGAACUGAGGUGAUCAGAGUGAAAUAGAACCUGAAACCAUUUGCUUACAAUCAUUCAGAGCCCUAUGUAGCAAUACAGGGUGAUGGACUGCCUUUUGCAUAAUGAGCCUGCGAGUUGUGGUGUCUGGCAAGGUUAAGCAAACGCGAAGCCGUAGCGAAAGCGAGUCUGAAUAGGGCGCUUAGUCAGAUGCUGCAGACCCGAAACGAAGUGAUCUAUCCAUGAGCAAGUUGAAGCUAGUGUAAGAACUAGUGGAGGACUGAACCCAUAGGCGUUGAAAAGCCCCGGGAUGACUUGUGGAUAGGGGUGAAAGGCCAAUCAAACUUCGUGAUAGCUGGUUCUCUCCGAAAUAUAUUUAGGUAUAGCGUUGUGUCGUAAUAUAAGGGGGUAGAGCACUGAAUGGGCUAGGGCAUACACCAAUGUACCAAACCCUAUCAAACUCCGAAUACCUUAUAUGUAAUCACAGCAGUCAGGCGGCGAGUGAUAAAAUCCGUCGUCAAGAGGGAAACAACCCAGACUACCAGCUAAGGUCCCUAAAUCUUACUUAAGUGGAAAACGAUGUGAAGUUACUUAAACAACCAGGAGGUUGGCUUAGAAGCAGCCAUCCUUUAAAGAAAGCGUAAUAGCUCACUGGUCUAGUGAUUUUGCGCGGAAAAUAUAACGGGGCUAAAGUAAGUACCGAAGCUGUAGACUUGCACACAACUUAGAUUAUUUAAGUUUAGAAUAUGAGAAACUAAGUUAUAUGUUUAGUUAUAUUUUUACUGAUUUUUAUAGAGUAAAGAUAGAAAUAAAACUUAGUAAAAUCAGUAAAAAUAUUCUUAGACUAAAGUUAAGUAGUUUAAGUUGUGUGCAAGUGGUAGGAGAGCGUUCUAUUUGCGUCGAAGGUAUACCGGUAAGGAGUGCUGGAGCGAAUAGAAGUGAGCAUGCAGGCAUGAGUAGCGAUAAUUAAUGUGAGAAUCAUUAACGCCGUAAACCCAAGGUUUCCUACGCGAUGCUCGUCAUCGUAGGGUUAGUCGGGUCCUAAGUCGAGUCCGAAAGGGGUAGACGAUGGCAAAUUGGUUAAUAUUCCAAUACCAACAUUAGUGUGCGAUGGAAGGACGCUUAGGGCUAAGGGGGCUAGCGGAUGGAAGUGCUAGUCUAAGGUCGUAGGAGGUUGUACAGGCAAAUCCGUAUAACAAUACUCCGAGAACUGAAAGGCUUUUUGAAGUCUUCGGAUGGAUAGAAGAACCCCUGAUGCCGUCGAGCCAAGAAAAGUUUCUAAGUUUAGCUAAUGUUGCCCGUACCGUAAACCGACACAGGUGGGUGGGAUGAGUAUUCUAAGGCGCGUGGAAGAACUCUCUUUAAGGAACUCUGCAAAAUAGCACCGUAUCUUCGGUAUAAGGUGUGGUUAGCUUUGUAUUAGGAUUUACUCCGAAAGCAAGGAAACUUACAACAAAGAGUCCCUCCCGACUGUUUACCAAAAACACAGCACUCUGCUAACUCGUAAGAGGAUGUAUAGGGUGUGACGCCUGCCCGGUGCUCGAAGGUUAAUUGAUGGGGUUAGCAUUAGCGAAGCUCUUGAUCGAAGCCCGAGUAAACGGCGGCCGUAACUAUAACGGUCCUAAGGUAGCGAAAUUCCUUGUCGGUUAAAUACCGACCUGCAUGAAUGGCGUAACGAGAUGGGAGCUGUCUCAAAGAGGGAUCCAGUGAAAUUGUAGUGGAGGUGAAAAUUCCUCCUACCCGCGGCAAGACGGAAAGACCCCGUGGACCUUUACUACAGCUUGACACUGCUACUUGGAUAAGAAUGUGCAGGAUAGGUGGGAGGCUUUGAGUAUAUGACGCCAGUUGUAUAUGAGCCAUUGUUGAGAUACCACUCUUUCUUAUUUGGGUAGCUAACCAGCUUGAGUUAUCCUCAAGUGGGACAAUGUCUGGUGGGUAGUUUGACUGGGGCGGUCGCCUCCCAAAUAAUAACGGAGGCUUACAAAGGUUGGCUCAGAACGGUUGGAAAUCGUUCGUAGAGUAUAAAGGUAUAAGCCAGCUUAACUGCAAGACAUACAAGUCAAGCAGAGACGAAAGUCGGUCUUAGUGAUCCGGUGGUUCUGUGUGGAAGGGCCAUCGCUCAAAGGAUAAAAGGUACCCCGGGGAUAACAGGCUGAUCUCCCCCAAGAGCUCACAUCGACGGGGAGGUUUGGCACCUCGAUGUCGGCUCAUCGCAUCCUGGGGCUGGAGCAGGUCCCAAGGGUAUGGCUGUUCGCCAUUUAAAGCGGUACGCGAGCUGGGUUCAGAACGUCGUGAGACAGUUCGGUCCCUAUCUGCCGUGGGCGUAAGAAGAUUGAAGAGAUUUGACCCUAGUACGAGAGGACCGGGUUGAACAAACCACUGGUGUAGCUGUUGUUCUGCCAAGAGCAUCGCAGCGUAGCUAAGUUUGGAAAGGAUAAACGCUGAAAGCAUCUAAGCGUGAAGCCAACUCUAAGAUGAAUCUUCUCUAAGCUCUCUAGAAGACUACUAGUUUGAUAGGCUGGGUGUGUAAUGGAUGAAAGUCCUUUAGCUGACCAGUACUAAUAGAGCGUUUGGCUUAUCUUUAAUAAAGCAU